rnacentral:tRNA from 1 species
GCGGAUGUAGUUCAGUGGUAGAAUGUCUCCUUCCCAAGGAGAAGGUCGGCGGUUCGAAUCCGCUCAUCCGCU